AGGUACGAUCAGACAAGCACUAAUGCACCCGAUCCCAUUAGAACUCUGCAGUUAAGCGUGCUACGGCAAGAGUAAUACAAGGAUGGGUUACCUCCUGGGAAGUCCUCGUGUUGCCCCUA
rnacentral:rRNA from 2 species